AGUCAAGUAAUUAAGUGCAUGUGGUGGAUGCCUUGGCAGUCAGAGGCGAUGAAAGACGUGAUAGCCUGCGAAAAGCUCCGGGGAGGCGGCAAAUAUCCUUUGAUCCGGAGAUGUCUGAAUGGGGGAACCCACCUACUUUAAGGUAGGUAUUGCAACAUGAAUACAUAGUGUUGCAAGGCGAACGAGGGGAAGUGAAACAUCUCAGUACCCUUAGGAAAAGAAAUCAAUUGAGAUUCCCUCAGUAGCGGCGAGCGAACGGGGAUCAGCCCAUUAAGUUAUGUGUGUUUUAGUGGAACGCUCUGGGAAGUGCGAACGUAGAGGGUGAUAUUCCCGUACACGAAAGGGCACACAUAAUGAUGACGAGUAGGGCGAGGCACGUGAAACCUUGUCUGAAUAUGGGGGGACCAUCCUCCAAGGCUAAAUACUCCUGACUGACCGAUAGUGAACCAGUACCGUGAGGG
rnacentral:rRNA from 1 species